AAUUUAACCAAGACUUUCCAAGAUUACUUAAAGAAUAUAGACCAUUUCAUUAAAACUAAAAAUUUUAUCGUCGGAAUAAGAGUGGGUUCCGAAAAUCUUAUUCUAAACCUAGAACAAGCAUAUAGACCUAAAGUAAAAAAUACAACAGCACCCGUAUUUAACUCAGGUA